rnacentral:rRNA from 2 species
GUCUGGUGCCAGCAGCCGCGGUAAUUCCAGCUCCAAUAGCGUAUAUUAAAGUUGUUGCAGUUAAAAAGCUCGUAGUUGAAUUUCGGGGUUAGUAGGUUGGUCAUGCCUCUGGUAUGUACUGGUCUCACUGAUUCCUCCUUCCUGAUGAGCCGUAAUGCCAUUAAUUUGGUGUUGCGGGGAAUUUGGACUGUUACUUUGAAAAAAUUAGAGUGUUUAAAGCAAGCUAACGCUUGAAUACAUUAGCAUGGAAUAAUGAAAUAGGACAUUCGAUCCUAUUUUGUUGGUUUCUAGGAUUGACGUAAUGAUUAAUAGGGAUAGUUGGGGGCAUUAGUAUUCAAUUGUCAGAGGUGAAAUUCUUGGAUUUAUUGAAGACUAACUACUGCGAAAGCAUUUGUCAAGGAUGUUUUCAUUAAUCAAGAACGAAAGUUAGGGGAUCGAAGACGAUCAGAUACCGUCGUAGUCUUAACCAUAAACUAUGCCGACUAGGGAUCGGAUGAUGUUAAUUUUUUAAUGACUCA